GACGAACGCUGGCGGCGUGCCUAAUACAUGCAAGUCGAACGCUUUUUCUUUCACCGGAGCUUGCUCCAUCGAAAGAAAAAGAGUGGCGAACGGGUGAGUAACACGUGGGUAACCUGCCCAUCAGAAGGGGAUAACACUUGGAAACAGGUGCUAAUACCGUAUAACACUAUUUUCCGCAUGGAAGAAAGUUGAAAGGCGCUUUUGCGUCACUGAUGGAUGGACCCGCGGUGCAUUAGCUAGUUGGUGAGGUAACGGCUCACCAAGGCAACGAUGCAUAGCCGACCUGAGAGGGUGAUCGGCCACACUGGGACUGAGACACGGCCCAGACUCCUACGGGAGGCAGCAGUAGGGAAUCUUCGGCAAUGGACGAAAGUCUGACCGAGCAACGCCGCGUGAGUGAAGAAGGUUUUCGGAUCGUAAAAACUCUGUUGUUAGAGAAGAAACAAAGGAUGAGAGUAAAAU
rnacentral:rRNA from 1 species